rnacentral:misc_RNA from 1 species
GAUGAAGAACGUAGCGAAAUGCGAUAAGUAAUGUGAAUUGCAGAAUUCAGUGAAUCAUCGAAUCUUUGAACGCACAUUGCGCCCGCCAGUAUUCUGGCGGGCAUGCCUGUUCGAGCGUCAUUACAACCCUCAGGCCCCCGGGCCUGGUGUUGGGGAUCGGCGGAAGCCCCCUGCGGGCACAACGCCGUCCCCCAAAUACAGUGGCGGUCCCGCCGCAGCUUCCAUUGCGUAGUAGCUAACACCUCGCAACUGGAGAGCGGCGCGGCCACGCCGUAAAACACCCAACUUCUGAAUGUUGACCUCGAAUCAGGUAGGAAUACCCGCUGAACUUAAGCAUAUCAAUAAGCGGAGGA